GUUUUGCAAAACCAUUAGCAUGAGCUCAUGGCUUACGUGAUUUCUCCCUUCCAAACUCCCUAUAAAUACUCAUGAAAUCUGCUCAUACUCCUCACUCAACCAAAUUCGAUUUACAGAAAAAUAAGUACAAGAUAUUAGCUACACAAAUUCCCGUAACUAUCCUCUGUUUUCACGUAUCACCACCAUUGUCACCACCGCGGCACCGCCGCUUGUGCAACCUACUGCCACCAUAAACACCUCCUCUCAUUAACUAAAACAAUGUAAAACCAUUAUCCAUAAUGUAAAAGCUAAAUUGUAGCAACCCAUCGUCGAACCCGCAACCCGAAAGUCACAUUACCCCUCUCUCUUUCCUCACUGAUGCGGACCACCACCAUCACCGCCUAGGCGAAACCUUCUGCCUCCGUUCCUUCGACCACCACCUCCCUGUGUCACCCUAUUCGAGUUAUUGCUAAGUGUUAACUCACGCAAGUCUCUUAGCCUCACCUCUCCUUUUCUUGGUUCUGUUCGUACUUUAAUGUGAAGCCAUGAGAUUGGAUUUUCUUUGCCCAAACCCAAUUGAAUAAGUUGCUCAUAUUUUAAAACAAAAGUCAACUUUCCUUACCAACCACUUAAGCUAAAUUGGUGAUCGGAGCUCAGAAGAACGAUCCAUCGAACAGGAAGUAUAAACUACGGUUGAGGUACGAAGAAGAUCAUGGGAUGCCUUAGAGUGAGGAUGCAACCAUCAAAUUCACGAUCGAUGUUUAAUAAAGAUAACUAUGUCAUUAGUAAUAAAGCGAUGUAUUAAUUAAACUCUAAGUUUGAUUUCACGAUUUGAGUUAGAUUUUUAAAUUAAUGUCUAAACUUGUUAGAAAUAUUUAUUAAGGUUUACUUAGAUUUCAAUGUAAAUUUUAAAGAAUUAAUGGAAGUGAAGCAUAAUUACUGUUACUCAAUAGUAGUCAGUAAACGUAAAAAGGUUAUGUCGCCUUGUAUUUCCCACGAGGGAGAUACGGCAGUGACGCUCCGACUAAAUUAGGGUUUCCGCUGCUAAUUAAAGAUAAUUAACCUAAUUAAUGGUGUUUAGAAGUCGGGGUGUUACAAAAACAAACACGUUUCCCAUACGUGUCAUCGCUAGCGCUAGUUUGAAAAUUUCAAAGAUUAAAAUAUUUCAUGUCCCGCUUUCACACACCCACGAAAUCCUCAACCUCCUCUUUACUCUCAACCGACUCGCCCUGAACCCUCACUCUAUUCUUCACCAAAGUCCUAAAUUAUUCUCAACCGAUUAAUCUCCUCAACCCUAUUCUCUCUCAUCACAUAAAUGGGGAAUAUGGAGAAUUUCAUUAUCCUUAAUUAUAUAAGCUUCUUUGGAUGUGGAUAGGGAUGUCGCUUAGGUAUCGGAAUUGUAAUAUCGAAAACUUAUUACGAACCCGAUCAGAGCGUCAUCAAUAAAGCCAUCAACAGGGAAGUCACUCCU